rnacentral:rRNA from 1 species
UUUUAUUUGAGAGUUUGAUCCUGGCUCAGGAUGAACGCUGGCGGCGUGCCUAACACAUGCAAGUUGAGCGAUUUACUUCGGUAAAGAGCGGCGGACGGGUGAGUAACGCGUGGGUAACCUACCCUGUACACACGGAUAACAUACCGAAAGGUAUGCUAAUACGGGAUAAUAUAUUUGAGAGGCAUCUCUUGAAUAUCAAAGGUGAGCCAGUACAGGAUGGACCCGCGUCUGAUUAGCUAGUUGGUAAGGUAACGGCUUACCAAGGCGACGAUCAGUAGCCGACCUGAGAGGGGGAUCGGCCACAUUGGAACUGAGACACGGUCCAAACUCCUACGGGAGGCAGCAGUGGGGAAUAUUGCACAAUGGGCGAAAGCCUGAUGCAGCAACGCCGCGUGAGUGAUGAAGGCCUUCGGGUCGUAAAACUCUGUCCUCAAGGAAGAUAAUGACGGUACUUGAGGAGGAAGCCCCGGCUAACUACGUGCCAGCAGCCGCGGUAAUACGUAGGGGGCUAGCGUUAUCCG